UCACGCCUCCCAUCCCCAGGCUGCAGGUGUGCCGGAGCUUGACACAUUUAACAAAACCGCUGGAAACUGCUCUCAUCCGUGGCAAAAAGUGCUUUGGAAGCCUGGUUCGGAUCUGUGAGUUUCUGCCUCAUCUCUGGAACUGCCCUCAUCAGCAGAGUGAGCACUGAUGCCUGGAGUAGCAGACUGUGCAUAAGCAGACAUCUCUGUCUUUAUCUGCAGACAGAAAAACAAUUAGAGCUGUCGGAUGCUUUGCUGACGUGUGCGUUGUCACAUGGAGAGAUGGCUUGGUCGGUGCCAGGAAAUCUGAACUGUUCAACCCUCAGCAAGUUAUUAAGUUAAUUAAUAAAGUUCCUUACAGCUGGGCUUGGAAUGUGAGG
rnacentral:lncRNA from 1 species